rnacentral:rRNA from 9 species
AGUGGCACACGGUGGAUGCCUUGGCAUCAGGCGCCGAUGAAGGACGUGGGAGGCCGCGAUAGGCCACGGGGAGCUGUCAACCGAGCUUUGAUCCGUGGGUGUCCGAAUGGGGAAACCUAGCCCGAGUUGUGUCGGGUUGCCGCUACCUGAAUGUAU